rnacentral:rRNA from 1 species
GUGGGGAAUAUUGGACAAUGGGGGCAACCCUGAUCCAGCAACGCCGCGUGAGGGAAGAAGGCCUUCGGGUUGUAAACCUCUGUCGAAAGGGACGAAACCCAUCAUGGCUAACAUCCAUGGUGAUUGACGGUACCUUUAGAGGAAGCACCGGCUAACUCCGUGCCAGCAGCCGCGGUAAUACGGAGGGUGCAAGCGUUGUUCGGAAUUACUGGGCGUAAAGCGUGUCUAGGUGGAUCUGUAAGUCAGGUGUUAAAGCUCUCGGCUUAACCGGGAAAUGUCGCUUGAUACUGCAGGUCUUGAGUUUCGGGGAGGUGGGUGGAAUUCCCAGUGUAGAGGUGAAAUUCGUAGAGAUUGGGAGGAACACCGGAGGCGAAAGCGACUCACUAACCGAACACUGACACUCAAGCACGAAAGCGUGGGUAGCAAACAGGAUUAGAUACCCCUGUAGUCC